CUAAGAAGCCAGUAGAGGCAGCCUAUACGUCAGCUACAGCUGCAUUUCAACGGCUCUGUGCCUUAUUUAUGCUCGCGAUUUUCGACUUGCGAGCUGGACCACCUGCGUCAGCCCGCUUCGCAGAUGGGCGAAAAAUGCUGUCCGGAGCUGCGCUACUUGAUAGGAAUCGGGCCUGUAAAGCGGUUGGUGAUGGUCCACUUUUAGGCUUAGCUUGCGACUCUCGUUGGGAGCUCUUAGGCAACGCUUUCCUUCCGUUCAUGCAUUCGUGGAACGGUUGCCGGACUGGAUGCACUUGUUGGGCACAUAUGUAGGUUUAACGAGAAUUUCGAUCGAGCACUUUUAAGUGGCGUAGAACGAAGUAUUUCAACCCAAUUGCAGUUCGCUGCUGUACGUUCCAGCCUACGUAACAGAAUUGAGUAAUGCAAUAAAGUGUGACGUACCGGAAA